rnacentral:rRNA from 1 species
UAGGGAAUCUUCCGCAAUGGACGAAAGUCUGACGGAGCAACGCCGCGUGAACGAUGAAGGCCUUCGGGUCGUAAAGUUCUGUUGUUAGGGAAGAACAAGUACCAGAGUAACUGCUGGUACCUUGACGGUACCUAACCAGAAAGCCACGGCUAACUACGUGCUAGCAGCCGCGGUAAUACGUAGGUGGCAAGCGUUGUCCGGAAUUAUUGGGCGUAAAGCGCGCGCAGGCGGUCCUUUAAGUCUGAUGUGAAAGCCCACGGCUCAACAGUGGAGGGUCAUUGGAAACUGGGGGACUUGAGUGCAGAAGAGGAGAGUGGAAUUCCACGUGUAGCGGUGAAAUGCGUAGAGAUGUGGAGGAACACCAGUGGCGAAGGCGACUCUCUGGUCUGUAACUGACGCUGAGGCGCGAAAGCGUGGGGAGCAAACAGGAUUAGAUACCCUGGUAGUCCACGCCGUAAACGAUGAGUGCUAAGUGUUAGAGGGUUUCCGCCCUUUAGU